rnacentral:rRNA from 1 species
UACGAAGGGGGCUAGCGUUGCUCGGAAUGACUGGGCGUAAAGGGCGCGUAGGCGGAUGGCACAGUCAGAUGUGAAAUUCCUGGGCUUAACCUGGGGGCUGCAUUUGAUACGUGUGAUCUGGAGUGAGGAAGAGGGUUGUGGAAUUCCCAGUGUAGAGGUGAAAUUCGUAGAUAUUGGGAAGAACACCGGUGGCGAAGGCGGCUCACUGGCCCGAUACUGACGCUGAGGCACGAAAGCGUGGGGAGCAAACAGG